AGCUCCAACGCUGCACAGGCCGUCCUCCCCAACAAUAUCCUGGUGCUGAGUGGGUGCACAGUGACUCCAGCAUCAGUGAUUUUGUUGAAGAGGGCAGCUGCCAGCCUCCUGCCCUGCC
rnacentral:pre_miRNA from 7 species